AUUGAACGCUGGCGGCAUGCCUUACACAUGCAAGUCGAACGGUAACAGGUCUUCGGAUGCUGACGAGUGGCGAACGGGUGAGUAAUACAUCGGAACGUGCCUAGUAGUGGGGGAUAACUACUCGAAAGAGUGGCUAAUACCGCAUGAGAUCUACGGAUGAAAGCAGGGGAUCGCAAGACCUUGUGCUACUAGAGCGGCCGAUGGCAGAUUAGGUAGUUGGUGGGAUAAAAGCUUACCAAGCCGACGAUCUGUAGCUGGUCUGAGAGGACGAUCAGCCACACUGGGACUGAGACACGGCCCAGACUCCUACGGGAGGCAGCAGUGGGGAAUUUUGGACAAUGGGCGGAAGCCUGAUCCAGCAAUGCCGCGUGCAGGAUGAAGGCCUUCGGGUUGUAAACUGCUUUUGUACGGGACGAAAAGCCCUGGGUUAAUACCCUGGGGUCAUGACGGUACCGUAAGAAUAAGCACCGGCUAACUACGUGCCAGCCGCCGCAGUAA
rnacentral:rRNA from 1 species